UACGGGGGAUGCAAGCGUUAUCCGGAUUUAUUGGGUUUAAAGGGUGCGUAGGCUGUGAGGUAAGUCAGCGGUGAAAUGCCCCCGCUCAACGGGGUGAAGUGCCAUUGAUACUGCCUUGCUGGGAUGCGGAUGCCGUGGGAGGAAUGUGUGGUGUAGCGGUGAAAUGCAUAGAUAUCACACAGAACACCGAUUGCGAAGGCAUCUCACGAAUCCGCUAUUGACGCUGAUGCACGAAAGCGUGGGUAUCAAACAGG
rnacentral:rRNA from 1 species